rnacentral:rRNA from 1 species
UGGUGGAGUGAUUUGUCUGGUUAAUUCCGUUAACGAACGAGACCUCGACCUGCUAAAUAGUAUUGCGAAUUCUUCGGGAUUCGAAAUGCUUCUUAGAGGGACUAUCGGUGUGUAACCGAUGGAAGUUCGAGGCAAUAACA